AACGAACGCUGGCGGCAGGCUUAACACAUGCAAGUCGAGCGAGACCUUCGGGUCUAGCGGCGGACGGGUGAGUAACGCGUGGGAACGUGCCCUUCUCUACGGAAUAGCCCCGGGAAACUGGGAGUAAUACCGUAUACGCCCUUUGGGGGAAAGAUUUAUCGGAGAAGGAUCGGCCCGCGUUGGAUUAGGUAGUUGGUGGGGUAAUGGCCCACCAAGCCGACGAUCAUAGCUGGUUUGAGAGGAUGAUCAGCCACACUGGGACUGAGACACGGCCCAGACUCCUACGGGAGGCAGCAGUGGGGAAUCUUAGACAAUGGGGGCAACCCUGAUCUAGCCAUGCCGCGUGAGUGAUGAAGGCCUUAGGGUUGUAAAGCUCUUUCAGCUGGGAAGAUAAUGACGGUACCAGCAGAAGAAGCCCCGGCUAACUCCGUG
rnacentral:rRNA from 1 species